GGCGCCGCUCGUGGGGGGCC
rnacentral:miRNA from 1 species